GAAUGACUUGUUAUCUGCCUGUUGGAGAUGGCCCUGUGACAGAUCCCUGACUCUGAAGGUUUUUUCUUCUUGCCACACGGUGUGCAAAGCUGGCAUGAAGCUGCUGUCAGCCUGUUUGCUUCUCUGCCACUCAUCCUAAGACUUACCCUGGGGAUCUACUUCUUUGAUUUAUGGCUGGUGCUCAUCACCAAAAUUCAGUGGCUUUAAGUUGCCUCCUGGGCAAGUCCUUUGACCAAGGCACUUCGAAAUGAUCCAGCCUGCAAUCUUCGCUCCAUCAGUAGGUUUUCCGAGAGGCAGAGGGAGAGAGAAACCUUGGCUGUCUUUAAAGAUCUAAGCCAAUUACCAUGGAAGUUUGACUCCAUGCAAUACAGUGCGUGAGUGCUAAGAAAUGCCCAAGGCUGCUGUCAAUCAAAUAAACUGAAUUGUCCAUGUACUCUAUGAUUUUUAAAACUGUCUUCAAAGCCAUUUUGAAAACAAGUGCUCAACGUUUUGGGGGAGAAUUUUUAUUGAUUAGCGGCCAUGAAAUCACUCAUCAUACUUCUGAUAAGCUGCCACCUGAAGAGGCAUGAAAAAGUUCUGUGGUGUCUGCUGAGUGUUCUCGGUUAAUCCAGUCCAAAUUAUUAAGCCUUCAUAAUCCUCCAGGACACGUAAUCAGAUAAGGCUGCAACUGAUUUGAAGAAAUCCUUAAUUGCAGAAAUCAUCAAGCCUUGCUCUUCUGCUGGGCGAGAUGAAAGCGUUCAUCUUCUCCGGAGAACACACGAUGUCCUCACCUUGCAAGCAGAGACCAGGCCGUCCCCAGACACUGAGCUUGGUGGCACUUGGAUUUUGGACUUCCAGCCUCCAAAAUUACUAUUCAUUGACCUGCUCAAGUAACAUAUCUCUCCAGCGUAAUUUUAUGUAACCACCUUCCUUUAUUACUGUUAUGGAAAUAAAAUAAGAAACAGAAGCUUUGGGAGGCCAAGGUGGGCAGAUCAAUUGAGGUCAAGAGUUCAAGACCAGCCUAGCCAACAUGGUGAAACCAUGUCUCUGCUAAAAAUACAAAAAUUAGCCUGGUGUGGUGACUCAGCCCCUGUAAUCCCAGCUACUCUGGAGGCCUGGGCACGCAGGAGAAUCACUUGAACCUGGGAGGAAAAGGUUGCGGUAAGCUGAGAUCAUACCACUGCUCUCCAG